GACGAACGCUGGCGGCGUGCUUAACACAUGCAAGUCGAACGAAGAGCGAUGGAAGCUUGCUUCUAUCAAUCUUAGUGGCGAACGGGUGAGUAACGCGUAAUCAACCUGCCCUUCAGAGGGGGACAACAGUUGGAAACGACUGCUAAUACCGCAUACGAUCCAAUCUCGGCAUCGGGACUGGAUGAAAGGUGGCCUCUAUUUAUAAGCUAUCACUGAAGGAGGGGAUUGCGUCUGAUUAGCUAGUUGGAGGGGUAACGGCCCACCAAGGCGAUGAUCAGUAGCCGGUCUGAGAGGAUGAACGGCCACAUUGGGACUGAGACACGGCCCAGACUCCUACGGGAGGCAGCAGUGGGGAAUCUUCCGCAAUGGACGAAAGUCUGACGGAGCAACGCCGCGUGAGUGAUGACGGCCUUCGGGUUGUAAAGCUCUGUUAAUCGGGACGAAUGGUUCUUGUGCGAAUAGUGCGAGGAUUUGACGGUACCGGAAUAGAAAGCCACGGCUAGCUACGUG
rnacentral:rRNA from 1 species